rnacentral:rRNA from 1 species
AGUUUGAUCAUGGCUCAGAGUGAACGCUGGCGGCAGGCCUAAUACAUGCAAGUCGAACGGCAGCACAGCAGAGCUUGCUCUGUGGGUGGCGAGUGGCGGACGGGUGAGGAAUACAUGGGAAUCUGCCCAGUCGUGGGGAUAACGUAGGGAAACUUACGCUAAUACCGCAUGCGCCCUUCGGGGGAAAGCCGGGGACCUUCGGGCCUGGCGCGAUUGGAUGAGCCCAUGUCGGAUUAGCUAGUUGGCGGGGUAAUGGCCCACCAAGGCGACGAUCCGUAGCUGGUCUGAGAGGAUGAUCAGCCACACUGGAACUGAGACACGGUCCAGACUCCUACGGGAGGCAGCAGUAGGGAAUAUUGGACAAUGGGCGCAAGCCUGAUCCAGCCAUGCCGCGUGAGUGAAGAAGGCCCUCGGGUUGUAAAGCUCUUUUGUCCGGAAAGAAAAGCGCCGGGUUAAUACCCUAGUGUCCUGACGGUACCGGAAGAAUAAGCACCGGCUAACUUCGUG